GGGGAAUAUUGGACAAUGGGCGAAAGCCUGAUCCAGCCAUGCCGCGUGUGUGAAGAAGGUCUUCGGCUUGUAAAGCACUUUAAGUUGGGAGGAAGGGCAGUAAGUUAAUACCUUGCUGUUUUGACGUUACCAACAGAAUAAGCACCGGCUAACUUCGUGCCAGCAGCCGCGGUAAUACGAAGGGUGCAAGCGUUAAUCGGAAUUACUGGGCGUAAAGCGCGCGUAGGUGGUUCGUUAAGUUGGAUGUGAAAGCCCCGGGCUCAACCUGGGAACUGCAUCCAAAACUGGCGAGCUAGAGUAUGGCAGAGGGUGGUGGAAUUUCCUGUGUAGCGGUGAAAUGCGUAGAUAUAGGAAGGAACACCGGUGGCGAAGGCGACUUUCUGGUCUGCAACUGACGCUGAGGCGCGAAAGCAUGGGGAGCAAACA
rnacentral:rRNA from 1 species